rnacentral:lncRNA from 1 species
AUUUGUUAAUGCCUUAAUGGCUGAGUUAAGUGGUCUUCGUACUUUUCUUGAGAUUGCUUGGAGCAAAGGCUUUUGAGAGUUGUGCAUUGACUGUAUUCUAAGGUGACACAUGGUUGUAGUUAUUCUCACAUCCUUAAUUUAUUAGUAGAAUUGGGUCGAAACUUGGGACUAGUGGUGUAAUAGAGUUUGAGAAAUCAAAAUCCACCAUGCUUUAUAGAAUGUCUAUUGGGGUGGCAGAUUAAUGACAUUUCGUUUAUAAACUAUCCCUAAUCUUAAUUUAAUUUUGCAUGCGAACCUAUUAUAUUAGAAUGCUAAUUUGAUAAUAAUAGCAUUAAAUAGAGUGAAAUGAAUUAGAUUUUGUUUAUAUUUUAAUCUACUAAUUAUGACUUUUUUUUUUUUGUGUGUGUGCCUAUAUUUGAGUUUAUAAGGAG